rnacentral:RNase_P_RNA from 1 species
CGAGCCGGGCGGACGGCCGCGUGGAGCUCCCCAGGGGGCUUCCCGAGGAACGUCCGGGCUCCACAGGGCAGGGUGGUGGCUAACGGCCACCCGGGGUGACCCGCGGGACAGUGCCACAGAAAGCAGACCGCCCGGCGCUCAGGCGCUGGGUAAGGGUGAAACGGUGGUGUAAGAGACCACCAGUGCCCAGGGUGACCUGGGCAGCUAGGUAAACCCCACCCGGAGCAAGGUCAAGAGGGGCCGCCUUCUCGCAAGAGCGGGCGACCCUGCGCGGACGUUCGAGGGCUGCCCGCCCGAGUCCGCGGGUAGACCGCAGGAGGCCGACGGCAACGCCGGCCCUAGAUGGAUGGCCGUCGCCGGGGGGUCCGCGAGGACCCCUCGGAACAGAACCCGGCGUACAGCCCGACUCGUCUG